GAUGAACGCUGGCGGCGUGCCUAAUACAUGCAAGUCGAGCGAACAGACGAGGAGCUUGCUCCUCUGACGUUAGCGGCGGACGGGUGAGUAACACGUGGAGAACCUACCUAUAAGACUGGGAUAACUUCGGGAAACCGGCGCUAAUACCGGAUAAUAUAUUGAACCGCAUGGUUCAAUAGUGAAAGACGGUUUUGCUGUCACUUAUAGAUGGAUCCGCGCCGCAUUAGCUAGUUGGUAAGGUAACGGCUUACCAAGGCGACGAUGCGUAGCCGACCUGAGAGGGUGAUCGGCCACACUGGAACUGAGACACGGUCCAGACUCCUACGGGAGGCAGCAGUAGGGAAUCUUCCGCAAUGGGCGAAAGCCUGACGGAGCAACGCCGCGUGAGUGAUGAAGGUCUUCGGAUCGUAAAACUCUGUUAUUAGGGAAGAACAAAUGUGUAAGUAACUAUGCACGUCUUGACGGUACCUAAUCAGGAAGCCACGGCUAACUACGUG
rnacentral:rRNA from 1 species